UACGUAGGGGCAAGCGUUGUCCGGAUCAUUGGGCGUAAAGAGCGUGUAGGCGGCCCGAUAAGUCCGCUGUGAAAGUCCAGGCUCAACCCUUGAAAGCCGGCCAUACUGUCGGACUAGAGUCCGGAAGAGGCAAGUGGAAUUCCCGGUGUAGCGGUGAAAUGCGCAGAUAUCGGGAGGAACACCGGUGGCGAAGGCGGGUCUCUGGGC
rnacentral:rRNA from 1 species